rnacentral:misc_RNA from 1 species
UUAUCCAAUGUUGAGGAAAAGAUCAAGAAAAUCUUGGCUGCUACUGGUGUUGAUAUCCCAAGCCUUGCAGCAGGAGGGAGUUCUCCAGCUACACUUCCCUUGCCUCUGGCUGCUUUUGUGAGCCUCACCAUAACCUAUAAAAUUGACAAAGCCUCAGAACGAUUUCUCAAUUUGGCUGGUCCAGCAUUGGAGUCACUUGCAGCUGGGUGCCCUUGGCCUUGCAUGCCAAUAGUGGCUUCGCUGUGGACCCAAAAGGCAAAGCGCUGGUUUGACUUCCUUGUGUUCUCUGCAUCUCGUACUGUCUUCCUC